rnacentral:rRNA from 1 species
UGGGGAAUAUUGCACAAUGGAGGGAACUCUGAUGCAGCGACGCCGCGUGAACGAAGAAGGCUUUCGAGUCGUAAAGUUCUUUUAUAUGGGAAGAUAAUGACGGUACCAUAAGAAAAAGCCCCGGCUAACUACGUGCCAGCAGCCGCGGUAAUACGUAGGGGGCUAGCGUUGUCCGGAAUCACUGGGCGUAAAGGGUUCGCAGGCGGAAAUGCAAGUCAGGUGUAAAAGGCAGUAGCUUAACUACUGUAAGCAUUUGAAACUGCAUAUCUUGAGAAGAGUAGAGGUAAGUGGAAUUUUUAGUGUAGCGGUGAAAUGCGCAGAUAUUAAAAAGAAUACCGGUGGCGAAGGCGGCUUACUGGGCUCAUUCUGACGCUGAGGAACGAAAGCGUGGGUAGCAAACAGG